rnacentral:lncRNA from 1 species
GACAAGGAAGACACUAACACACACCAAAAUAGUCCAUGAUUUGAAGAACCGAGGACCCCUUUUGGUGACCCCUCUCGGAUUCACUACACAAUAACAAUACAAGUACGAUAACAACAAGAUUCUAAGAUGUUCAACACCUAUAAUCAGCGAGCCACAAACUAAGAUUACAACACAAUAACAAGAACAAAAAUGACACAACAAGAUCUCGGGUUUGGACACCCAAAACCAAGAAUGAACACAACAACAAUAAUAAGAUAGAAUGAUAGAUAACUUGACACACAAUGCACAAACACUAUGAACAAAAGUGUAUAUUGAACACUAAGACCCAAGAAUUCAUAUAAAUAACAUCAAGUUCUUACGGUGACAUCAAG